UGCCCACAAGGUACUCUGUGGAUAUCCCCUUGGACAAAACUGUUGUCAAUAAGGAUGUCUUCAGAGACCCUGCUCUUAAACUCAAGGCCCGACAAGAGGCCAAGGUCAAGUUUGAGGAGAGGUACAAGACCGGUAAGAACAAAUGGUUCUUCCAGAAGCUGCGGAGAUCUGAAGAG